UCAUUGGUCAGGUCCACCCUAAGAGGUGUGACUUCUCCCAGAGUUUAAAAAGAGACACACAGCUUCACCUAGCCCUCUGGCUUCUUUUGACUGACUCAAGACGACCUCUGCUGGGUGGCCUCUCAGGCCAAGGCCUGUAGGCCUAAACCUGCACUUCAGCAUGUGCUUAUCUAGGAAAAAGAGAGAGGACUCUUUCCCCAUUAAGAGUCAAACUAACCACGCAAGUUUGUCAUCGUUUCUUCAUUCUAUGCAGAAGACAUCGAUUGCAACUUCAGCACCAUCGGACCGAACUCUCAGGACUUUCUACUGCAACAGUAUAUUCAGACGCUCUUCAAACAGCUGAGGCAUAAUGCAAGUAUUCUUCUGAGUCUCAACCUGAGAAAAGGAUCGUGCUUCUGGGGAAAACCGGAGAUGGCAAGAGCAGCGCCGGGAAUACCAUUCUAAAUCAGCUUCUUCAAGAGCAAAGCUUCACCUGAGUCUGUGACGGCUGAAUGUGUCAGUGGAGAUCGGAAGAUCGAUGGCAAAAAGAUAAAUUAUUGACACGCCUGGACUCUUUGACACCGGUCUGGAUGAGGGCGAUUCGGUGUGUAACACCGUAAAGAACACAGCCAAACUCAACUAUGAGAAUGAAAAAGGCACAGAAACAUCAACACAAACUGUUAAUCAGUACUAUUGUUCUCCUUUUUAAGGAACAGCAGAUUUUUAGCGAUUAUAUUAUGAUGUGCUUUAUCCUUAUUGUCUAAAUAAUGCAUGGGGAUUUACUUUUAAUUCUCACUAUAUGUAGGCUACUGUCACAUCCACCAGCUGUGAGUGCCUUUGCACGCCAGUAGAGGGCACUGUUUCCAUUGACACUACACACAUGGACUCAGUUUCCCACAAUGCUUUGUAUGUCAUCUGUGUAAUUAUGUGCAGCUGUUUCCCAUUACCUCGUUACCCCUUUGUCUCUCUCCCUAUGUAACCCUGUUCUAUUGUUUGUCUCUUUGCAAAGUAUUGUCUUGUGGUUCACAGCUUUACUGAGCUUUUUCCUUGUUUCUAUGUUCCUGGUCUUUGAUAUCUGCCCGUAUUCUGGUUUUCCCGUUCCUGUUUUGCCCUCUGGUCUUGUUUGUUUGGACUGAUUUACAGUGCUCUGACCUUCUGCCUGUUUAAUGGACUACGACUUUGGAUUGUGUUAAUAAACUGCACUUGGAUC